rnacentral:rRNA from 1 species
AGAGUUUGAUCCUGGCUCAGGACGAACGCUGGCGGCACGCUUAAAACAUGCAAGUCGAACGUGAAGCCCGGGCUUGCCCGGGUGGAAAGUGGCGAACGGGUGCGUAACACGUGAGCAACCUGCCCCGAAGACUGGGAUAACACCGGGAAACCGGUGCUAAUACCGGAUGCCUUCACCACGUCGCAUGGCGAGGUGAAGAAAUGGAUUCCGCUUCGGGAUGGGCUCGCGGCCUAUCAGCUUGUUGGUGGGGUAACGGCCUACCAAGGCAACGACGGGUAGCUGGUCUGAGAGGAUGUCCAGCCACACUGGGACUGAGACACGGCCCAGACUCCUACGGGAGGCAGCAGUUAGGAAUCUUGCGCAAUGGGCGAAAGCCUGACGCAGCGAUGCCGCGUGCGGGAUGAAGGCCUUCGGGUCGUAAACCGCUUUCAGCAGGGACGAUAGUGACGGUACCUGCAGAAGAAGCCCCGGCCAACUACGUGCCAGCAGCCGCGGUA